GGGUUGUGAGGUUAAGCGACUAAGCGUACACGGUGGAUGCCCUGGCAGUCAGAGGCGAUGAAGGGCGUGCUAAUCUGCGAUAAGCGCCGGUAAGGUGAUAUGAACCGUUAUAACCGGCGAUACCCGAAUGGGGAAACCCAGUGUGACUCGUCACACUAUCAUUAACUGAAUCCAUAGGUUAAUGAGGCGAACCGGGGGAACUGAAACAUCUAAGUACCCCGAGGAAAAGAAAUCAACCGAGAUUCCCCCAGUAGCGGCGAGCGAACGGGGAGGAGCCCAGAGCCUGAAUCAGCAUGUGUGUUAGUGGAAGCGUCUGGAAAGGCGCGCGAUACAGGGUGACAGCCCCGUACACAAAAGCGCAUGUGCUGUGAGCUCGAUGAGUAGGGCGGGACACGUGGUAUCCUGUCUGAAUAUGGGGGGACCAUCCUCCAAGGCUAAAUACUCCUGACUGACCGAUAGUGAACCAGUACCGUGAGGGAAAGGCGAAAAGAACCCCGGCGAGGGGAGUGAAAAAGAACCUGAAACCGUGUACGUACAAGCAGUGGGAGCACCCUUUGGGGUGUGACUGCGUACCUUUUGUAUAAUGGGUCAGCGACUUAUAUUCUGUAGCAAGGUUAACCGUAUAGGGGAGCCGGAGGGAAACCGAGUCUUAACCGGGCGUUAAGUUGCAGGGUAUAGACCCGAAACCCGGUGAUCUAGCCAUGGGCAGGUUGAAGGUUGGGUAACACUAACUGGAGGACCGAACCGACUAAUGUUGAAAAAUUAGCGGAUGACCUGUGGCUGGGGGUGAAAGGCCAAUCAAACCGGGAGAUAGCUGGUUCUCCCCGAAAGCUAUUUAGGUAGCGCCUCGUGAAUUCAUCUCCGGGGGUAGAGCACUGUUUCGGCUAGGGGGCCAUCCCGGCUUACCAACCCGAUGCAAACUGCGAAUACCGGAGAAUGUUAUCACGGGAGACACACGGCGGGUGCUAACGUCCGUCGUGAAGAGGGAAACAACCCAGACCGCCAGCUAAGGUCCCAAAGUCAUGGUUAAGUGGGAAACGAUGUGGGAAGGCCCAGACAGCCAGGAUGUUGGCUUAGAAGCAGCCAUCAUUUAAAGAAAGCGUAAUAGCUCACUGGUCGAGUCGGCCUGCGCGGAAGAUGUAACGGGGCUAAACCAUGCACCGAAGCUGCGGCAGCGACGCUGAUGCGUUGUUGGGUAGGGGAGCGUUCUGUAAGCCUGCGAAGGUGGCCUGUGAGGGUUGCUGGAGGUAUCAGAAGUGCGAAUGCUGACAUAAGUAACGAUAAAGCGGGUGAAAAGCCCGCUCGCCGGAAGACCAAGGGUUCCUGUCCAACGUUAAUCGGGGCAGGGUGAGUCGACCCCUAAGGCGAGGCCGAAAGGCGUAGUCGAUGGGAAACGGGUUAAUAUUCCCGUACUUGGUGUUACUGCGAAGGGGGGACGGAGAAGGCUAUGUUGGCCGGGCGACGGUU
rnacentral:rRNA from 1 species